CAAGGCUGGGCUAGGCAGGACACAGGGAUCUAGGGCAUCGUCCUCAGAUUCCACAGCAGGUUCAGAAUUACACGGCUGCAUACCUUUCUGGCAGGUCUCGACUUACAAAACCCUCCAGAGCACCACCUAGUCUGUUGUCAGCACCCCCAAGGCUCUCCAGGGCCAUUCUAUUUGCCUCUCUGACAGGAGGGUUCCAGAGCCAGCCCUGGAGGAGCAAAGAGAGGGAGGCAGCAGCUGGGAGAUCAGAGGUGCUGGACGUAGCCUGAGGCCGCACGGGGAGGGGGCCGGGGAGUCCUGGCUGCCGGGGCCAGGGAGACACAGGGCCUCCUCGUGCUGUGCCUCACACUGGGCCAGAACUCUAAAUGUCUCAUGUCCUCUGAGCCCCACCUUGAGACACCGGGACCACUCUCCUCACCAUACAAGGUUUCAGCCUCACUGAAAACCUCUCUGUAACGCGAGCAAGUCACCGCCACACCUUUCUGGGUCUUGGUUCCCUCUUCUGUAAAACGGGGAGAGGGGUUGGAGUCAACCCUCCAGGUCUCUCUCAGGGGGAAGCUGAAUGACUCUAGAUGUGAGACCAGUGAUGGCUGAGAGUCUCCUUUCCCCCUGUCCCCUCUCUUCCCCAUCGAUCUCCAGCCUCGGGAAGUAGCUGCUGAAUCAACAUAGAUGGGUGGACCAGAAGGCCCUGGAAGGCAGUUCCAACAUCCAGAAGCACUCAGGACCCCUCAGACAUACGCAGGUCAGGGCUGAAGGACCUUUGGGGGUCAUCAGGGAUAGCCUGCCCCUUUUACAGGAGUGUGCAAGCUACUCUUCCAGGAAGCCUGGAAAUCCUGCUCUCCCAAUCUCGCCAGUCUUCGGCUGGGAAGAAACUUUAGAAGAACUCCAACCAAACACCCUGGAGUCAAGGAGAGAGGAUCCUGCCGGAUACCCUGGAGGAAGGAAUGCUGCACAGAGAGGCUGAGAAGAAUUUGAACAGACAGGCCUUGCUGGGUUUAGAACUCUUCUUGUCCAAUCCCAUUUUGACACAGUUGUCCAUGCUUCAAUCAUACUUAUCCAAUGAGGUUUCCAUAACAGGCCUGAGAGGACAGGGUUCAGGAGCUUCCAGACAGUUGAGCAGGUGGAGGUUCCUGGAGGGUGGUGUGCCAGGGAGAGUGUGGAAGCUCCGCCCCUUGCCCCAUACCUUACCCUAUGCAUUCCUUCAUCUGCUUCCUUUAUUUUUUUAUUUUUUUUGAGAUGGAGUCUCGCUCUUGUUGCCCAGGCUGCAGUGCAAUGGCAUGCGAUCUCGGCCCACUGCAACCUCUGC